rnacentral:rRNA from 1 species
UACGUAGGGGGCAAGCGUUGUCCGGAUUUAUUGGGCGUAAAGAGCGUGUAGGCGGCCAUACAGGUCCGUUGUGAAAACUGGAGGCUUAACCUCCAGACGUCGAUGGAAACCGUAUGGCUAGAGUCCGGAAGAGGAGAGUGGAAUUCCUGGUGUAGCGGUGAAAUGCGUAGAGAUCUGGAGGAACACCGAUGGCGAAGGCAGCCUUCUGGGCCAACACUGACGCUCAUGCACGAAAGCGUGGGGAGCAAACAGG